GCGACCUAUGAUUUUCAAUAUGCGUGGAUUGGGUGCUUUUCACAAACUUCUUAUUAUCGUGACUGUUGCGAGCAGUUUAUUUCACGCUCUCAGUUUUUACCGGAUUUUGAAACCACAUCGUUAUUCUAUCAACAUUGAAGCACAUUUUAAGAACCUUGGCGCCUUAAAAGAAAAAUACGAAGGUGGAUUGCUAG